rnacentral:rRNA from 1 species
CUACGGGAGGCUGCAGUGGGGAAUAUUGCACAAUGGAGGAAACUCUGAUGCAGCAACGCCGCGUGGAGGAUGACACAUUUCGGUGCGUAAACUCCUUUUAUAUGGGAAGAUAAUGACGGUACCAUAUGAAUAAGCACCGGCUAACUCCGUGCCAGCAGCCGCGGUAAUACGGAGGGUGCAAGCGUUACUCGGAAUCACUGGGCGUAAAGCGCGCGCAGGCGGCCUUUUAAGUUGGAUGUGAAAGCCUUCGGCUCAACCGUAGAACUGCAUCCAAAACUAUCAGGCUAGAGUGUGGGAGAGGAAGAUGGAAUUAGUUGUGUAGGGGUAAAAUCCGUAGAGAUAACUAGGAAUACCAAAAGCGAAGGCAAUCUUCUGGAACACUACUGACGCUGAGGCGCGAAAGCGUGGGGAGCAAACAGGAUUAGAUACCCCGGUAGUC